rnacentral:snRNA from 1 species
GUGUUCGCCUGAGCAGUACAUACCCUGAAAGGGGAACCAUACAGAGAUUAGCACNGGCCCUGUGAAAGGAAUACACACAAAUCAGUGAAGUGGUCCAGAGUUUC